UUUUAAACAAAGUUCUGGUAGGGCAUGUGAACAAUGCUGAUUGCUCAUUUAUAAAUAAGAUUUAUAUAUACUCCUUCCUUUGGUUUUGGAAUUAACAAUUUCUUAGUUCCAGAGAACUGAGAAGGCACCACCUUGGAGGAGCCUCUAAAUGACUCUUGUAUCCUGAAAACCCAUGGUAACCUCAUUCCUACUCUGCUGGUUCCAAUUAACCUUUCUGUAAGCUAUUUAUAUGUGCAUGCUGUAGCCUUUUAAGAGGGGCCAGACAUUUUUAGCCACACUGGAUCAAAUAAUAUGGUUUAAUUCAUACAUGAUGUGGAUUGGAUUAUACAGAUGUCUUCACAUCUGUAUAUAUGCCUAAAAAUCCCCAACAUUACUAGGGCUUCAGCAGUAUUUUAAGACCAAUGCCUUCUAUGGAAACACUCAGAAUGUAUCUGAAUACAGGUCCUACGCUGUCACCAAAAGCAAUUUACCAUCUAAUUCCAGCGAAAUCCUAAUAACACCACAAGACCAGGACUGUCUCUCUGGGAGACAGUCCCCAGUUCCCAUCUCCUUCCUCUGUCUAGAGUGAUCCAUUUGCUGUUCCACCUUUGUAAUUUGCAUACUCCUUUCAUUCGGAGUUUAUCACAUAAAACCUUGCUAUUUUUGUAUGUAUUCGUGUCUUUCUCUUUAGCUGUAGCAGGAGCUUCUUAAAGGCAGAGAUAAUAUUCUCUUUGUGUUCCUCCUACCCGCUCCCACACCUUCCACCCACCCGAACUGGAAUCCUAACACCAUGCUUUGCACAUAGUUGAAGUUCAGGGUUCUAGAAAAGUUAAUAAUGGAUGAAUGAAUCAUAAACAUAAUGUGGGUCAUUUCCCCCAUGCAAUGCAUCACCUGUCUUUGCCCACUCUGACAGCCCUCAGCCUCUUCUCUGCCCACUCCCUCAGCUUCCCAUAGUUUCUCCUCAUCUGUCUGGCAUUCAUCUCUACCUCUAAAGCGCUUUCCAAUCUGCUGAAAUGCUGGUGCCUGUACCAUGACUCCUCCUUUUAACUCCUUUUCAAAGCCAUUCAAUAAGACUUAAUUCUAAGGCUUAGCACUCUUCCAUUUGAGAACUGUCCUACCACUCUGGGCUUCUUCAGCCCUGAUAAUACUGCCCGCUCCCCAUACUCAACCUAUGAAGCCUCCCUUAGCAAACGAGCUAGUUGUCUUGGAACCAAAAGAAGCUAUGUGUAGUGCCCAAGUCACCCACUAAAAUCCCCCUGGAAACUGAAGAGCUGCAUGUGUUUCUCCCUAGGUUCUUUCCUUAUGCCAUCUUUUCUUGAACAUUGACAAAAAGCUGCAACUAUCUCCAAUUAUUCCUAAGCUUAAGUGUUUGCCAGAAACUGAUGCAUAUGUAAAGCAUGCACUCUUACUGUACAUGAAAAAAAAAAAUUCUUUUUUUUUUUUUUUUUUUGCUUUAGUGAUUACUUAACAGAUGUUCCUGGCUAUAGUGACCCUAAAUUCUAACUCUGCCUACCAUUACUCCAGAGAUGUUUUCACUAACCACUCUCUCCUCUAACGAUCACAUCGCCCUCUCAUUGGGUGGGGGGUAGGGGGCGCUGCAUCAAUAGUCCCAUUUUACAGAUGCACAGUCUGGGGCUGGGAGAGCGGUUUUGUGAUUUUCCUAAAUUGCCAUGGUUUGUAAAUGGCGGUGGUGGUACUGAGACUUUCCUACUUUCUCAAGCUUUUGUCAAAUUUGUCGUGAGCAGCAUUUGCUGCAGCCAACUUUGGUUCCUUGGAAAUGUAGUCAUCCAUUUAAAUGCUGGCUUCUUUGUUUAUUUUUUGAUUUAAUGUCUUCUAAUUGAAUAAACCAGAUUUACAUUUUAAAGGGAAAAUCACCCUUAUAGUCCUCUUAGUUUUUAUAAAUCUUUGUAACAAUUUUAACAGGUUCCUAUGUUAGAAUUACAAGCAGCCAAAAGAUAUACAUGGAACACCUCCUUGUUAGCCCUACUGCCAGGCACAGAGAGGCUGGUGCAGGGUGGGAAAUGGCAUGGGAUAGGAUGGGGAAGAAACACAGGGAGCUCGAGGGCCUGGAAUGAGGUCCACGUUCCCCUGAAGGAGUGCCUUGUCCAAAGUUUAUCCUUCCUAAGGUGGUUUUUUCCUAAAUCACAGAAAUGUGCCGCAUAGACUUGCUAGAAGGGGAAGGGGGUGAGACGCAGGAUAGUUUACAAUCUAAUCUGAGAGUCAAGCCACAUGCCACAAGUCACAUGCACACAGAGGCCCCCACCUGUGUUGCAUUGGGAUAAAAAACAUGCUAGAAAUGUCACCAAAAAUGUACACCAAAAGCUGGCUGCAGCCAUAAGCAAUAAAGGAAAAUAAAGGAGAGGUGACUGUAGGGUGAGAAAAUCUGGAAAGCUUUGUAGAGAAGAGACAGUGAUUUGGAAAGCGCACAAUCCUAGCUGAAGGAGGACAAUGCUGUCCCAUCCCCUGGCCUACCUAGUGCUUGCUUAAGGAGACUCCAGGCCUGUGGAAGCAAGUAGGAUAUGAAAUGCUACUGUCUGCUACAAAAGAGAGGAGAGAGAAGAAAGCAGGGGUCACAGAGUGGGCAAGGGCAUGCUUCUGAGCCACACUUCCUGGAUCUGCGUCCUGGUUUGCCACUCAGAAGCUACAUGAACUUGGGCAAGCUACUGGUAGAUUCUGGACUUCAGUACUGGUAGUGCCUACCUCCUAGAGCCAGUAUACAGAUUAAAUGAGAAUAUUACCCACAAAGUGCACAGAACAGUGUCUGGCACACAGUAAGUGCUCAAUAAGUGCUAGUUAUUAUGAUCACGCAUGCAUACAUGUGUGUACAUUUACUGGUAGCACACAUGCUGCUGCUGCUGAGUCACUUCAGUGUGAUCCACAAGUAGUACUAGGAUCCAUAGACCGAGAUUUACUCUAAAAGACACCAGGAAAGGUCAGAGAAAGAGGACUUGACCAUCAUGUGCUGCUAAUGUUUUUACAUGAGUUAACACCUUGAGAUAACAACUCAGAGGAAAGGACAGUAACGAAGAUGGUGAUGUUUGGGACUGAUCUUAUGUCCUGGGCUCAGGCACUGGAGCAGAGGGUUCAAACAUUCAAGCCCUGUUUGGAUUCCCCACACCACAACCUGGAGGCAAAGCUGCUAUUGGCUCUGUUGCUCUGUCAGAGGCAAUAGAUCUGAGUUGUGCCCUCCCCAGGGGUUUUUGUGGUCCAGGCCCUGGAGGUCAAGGAAACCAGCCUCAUUGCUAAGGGGAAUUUCCAGGGCUGCUCUCGUCACUGACAGAGUCACUGCCUGCUCUGCCUUGCUCCAGACUGAAAGGCACACAGAGGCCUGCCCCAAAGUACAGGAAGUUGGGGCCAUCGCCCUACCCUCUACACUUGGUGAAAUCUAUACUGUUGGGCAAGUUACUUAAUCUCUUCAAACUACAUCUCUAAAAUGGACGUAAUAAUAAAAAAUCAUUACGGGACCAGUUGUGAGGUUUAGAUACAGCACGGUAAAGUUUAGCAUUCUAUAAAAGGCAGCCACUAUCGUUGUGAAUAGCUUCUACCCCUGUUGUUUUGAUGCUGCAGGUAGCACAUCUGAAAGCACGCCUGAAAUUCAUCAUUAUGGUGACCAGAAAAUGUAUUGACCAAAGAGGGGAGUUUGGAGUAAAGGGAGUGCGAUUAGUGAUGGCACUGGAACAACAGGCAUAAAUUGGGACUGUUUUGGGUAAACCAACCAGUUCAUGAUUUUCUACCCAUUAGGAAAUGUUUUCUCCUUCUUGACAUUUCUGUCUUUUGAAAGGCGUUUAUUUUAUUGUGUAUAUUGCUUAGCUCUCAUUGAUGGGGGAAUGAAUAUGUGCUAGCCCUUAUACCCAGCACUCUAAGGAAACGAACUCUUUAACACCCUUCUGAUCACUAUAGGAGGUAGGUGUGACCUCUACUGCACAGCUAUGGAAUCUGAGGCUCAGGGAGGUUACAUAACUUGCCCAACCAAGGUUACAGGUCCACUAAAUGGUAUCUUGGCGAUUUAAGACAUCGGCCAAAGCCUAUGACUUCUACUGGAUCAGAAUGUUUAGAGGUGAUUUGAGGAUGGGGGCCUUCACUCCCACCUCUCACCUGCUGGACCUAAAGGGUGGGUUGAGGUGCAUAUCUUCCUCCCAUGUGCUUACCAAUUCCCAAAUCAUCAGCUCUGAAUAACCAUUGCCUGCAAUCUGAUUUUCAUAGAAAUGGGAGCUUCAUACAGUUAUUAAACCUGCUCCUGGUUUGUUUGUAUAUGGAAUUUUGUGUAGUUUUCAUAAGACCUGAAGAGUAAUAGCUAAGCUGGCAGUAGAUUAUAUCUCUAUUUUUUCUAUUUUGAUAUUCCCUGGGUGGGGUAGGGGCUGGGCAGCAAUAUCCCUAGUCCUGAUGCUCUUCAUAGAUGAGCUAUACAGAAACCCUUGUUUCAGGAAUGCCCACUUUGAACUCUGCCCUGGUGAUACAGAUGCACUGCUAUUGUGGAAAACAUUAACCUUUGAAAACUUAGUUCCAUGGGAGCAAAGCUAUGGCUCCCAUAAAACUGGGGAAUGAUACUCAGAACUCAGCCAAACUUCAAGGACAACUUUAUCAUUUCUGGGGCCCUAAUUUUCAGGAUGAUAGCUCCCAUGGUGUAAGAUAAUGACUGCUUCCUAUAGCAGCAGCAUAAGUAUGAAAAGUGCUCUUUGGCAAACACGUUAUUCAUCCAUUGUCACAGAGCCUGUCAUGUCCAGAGUGCUCAUCCAGAAGUAAUCUCUACCUACAUCCUGUCAUAGCAAGCGCAAGUUUUCCUCCAUACCUUCUGGACCUGGUUUCUCAGGACCACUGAUAAGAGCUUCCAUUUAGAACUUGGCAUCACUAGCAGGCAAGUCACAACUUUUGUCUCAACUAAACUUUAGCCCCAGGGACAGCCUUCAUCCGGGGGUUAAGGGCUUCCAAACUUUCAACAGCGGCAUUGAUGCCAGUCCUAAGGAGUGGGAAGAUCAAAAUUCCUCCCUCCCUACCCACUUGGAAGCAUGCAAACUGAAAAAUCUAUUCUCAAAUAUUCUGUUGAGUAAAGAUUCCUUUGUGUUAUUUUAACUGGGUUUUUAUGGAGACAGGGAUUCAUUUUUGUGUCCCAUGUCAUGAGUGACUUUAAUGAGAAAUGGCAGAAGUCAAUUCAGGGGAGCCCACAUGCACCUGGGUCUAGGCCCCCACUUCACUCCCCUGACAGGUCAAGAAACCAUGCAAGAAAUUACAGCCUUACUCUUCCAGAGACCUUCAGCACAAAUAAUGCCUGCUCCUGAUUACCAGAAUAAUGCCUGCAUAAUUUGGAAAGAGGGAGAUUCCCUGCUUUUGGUACAAGCACUGUCUUCUUAACCAUCAGGGGUGUCUGUACACACUGUUCUAUCUCCCUGAAAUAGGUCACCACUUGGUGGUUUUUUCUUUCGGUAAACACCUGCUAUCUUUAAGACUCAGCUUAAGGGGGGCACCUGACUUCACCUGGAGGACUUGGAAGAUCUGGAAGUUACAUAGGGCCCAACAUGCUCCCUUUGACAAACCUCAUCUCAUUUUUAUACUUACUAGUUGAAGGCCUGCCUUCAUUCUUGGGUCACGAGCUCUAGCUCAACCUGGACCUGUCAGCCAUGUUCCUCACAUGGCCAUUACCUGGCAGAAGCAGAGAAGGCUCUCAGUGAAGGAGUGGAAUAUUUGGGAGAAUGUGUCUGGUGCAGUGGUGGUAGCAUAUCAGAACCUUGUAGGGACCCGUGGAAUGCUUACCUGAAGCUGGAGAUGCUUUCAGGGAUCACUAGAUGGUUAGUUUCUGCUUUGCUCCUGAAGUCCUAGAGAGUUAGAAGGAGGUUCCAGAAAAAUCAUGUCUUCCAUUUGAUUAUAUCACUUUAUGGUUUAUAUAGAUAUUUCACGUAUGCUAUCUCAAGGCAAGGAAGGUUCUCUUAUUUCCAUCUUACUGGCAAGGACACGGAAGUCUCAGAGUGGUAUAGGAACUUGUCCCCAGUCACACACAGUAUGGGGUGGAACUGGAAAGUGAAUUAUCUCCUGCUGUGACACAACUACAUUAACAAUACAGCAUCAUUAAAAACUAUAACAAUGCUGAUUGUGUCUUACUUCUAAGUUCCAGCUGGUCACAGAUCAUUUGGAGCAUUUUUCAAACUGUCUCUACCACUUAUCAAGGAUUCAAUCAUUGCCUUUUUGCAAGUUUACCCUGCCUUGAGGAAAUUUUUAUUAUUGGAAUUCUUACGCCUGACGAAAAUCGCCCAUGUUCUGCAUUUCACCCAUUCUUUGAUAAGCCAUUUUUACGUGUUUGCAUUUCUGCUUGCGGCUCUUUCCUUCAGCCAGGACACUAACCUCCAUGUCUAGCCUAUGUUUAUUCUUCUGGGUCUCCAGGUGUAUCUUUUUUCGCUAUUCAUCCCUUGAUACUUCUAUGUUACCCUGUCUAACUCUGGACCCUUCCUUAGGUGAGGUCUAGAGUACCUACGACAUCAACGAUGCUGCUUCAGUGUCACAGGGUCUGGCCUCAGAGCCACAUGACUGCUAAGUUAACUACCACAUCAGUCAAUUCAUGCCCAAACAGGUGAUUCUCCUGUAAGCCUAACUACUCAGUCUAAUAUCACCAAAACAUCACUGGAGCACCUUUGUUGGAACUGCUUUCAGAAAUUAGUGACACCUUAUUUUUAAUAUUCUCAGUAAGCUUCUGGUUCAAGAUGAUGGAUGAAGCACAUGCUACAGCCUUUCCUUGUCACCCCCAGUCUCUGAAAGUGAUAGAAAAGAUAGUUUUUACCUUCAUAAGUGAAUUAUAAGAAAAGAAGUGUAGCCCUCCUUGGGCCAGAAAUUCUGGUAGUGUAAAAAAUGUUGGGAUCAACCUAAUGAAGGAAACAAAUCAAAAUACAUAUGGGAGAGAAGAGUAUCCCUCCAUAAGCAAGACAAAACCCAGUAGGGCUCCACACUGAAGGCCAUGGAUACAGGAAGCUGGAGAGAAAGUAGGGACAACCAGCAGAUUGAAGAGCUGGCCCCAGGAGCUCUUAUGUAUCUUCUCUCCUCCUACCAAGUGGCAGCUGAAGUGGGGCUCUGCCCAAAGAAGCUAUGGAUAGAGAGGAGUGGGGCUGGAGACACAGAAUAUACCCAAGCCCUGCAGCCUCGGUACUAAGGUAUUCUGACUAGAAGCACGCCUUCCUCUUCUUGAAAAGAGAGUACAAUCUGCAGCAGAAUAUCUGGCUUCUUCCAGUCCUUCCCCAAAAGGUGGGGAACAGAAGCAGCCCAGCUGACAAAGAAAUUCAGCCACAAAGACGAGCAUAUAAUUAAGACUCACCAAAUAUUUGGUGACUGCCAAUGCUGUGGGAGAAGGCAAUGGCACCCCACUCUCAGUACUCUUGCCUAGAAAAUCCCAUGGACGGAGGAGCCUGGUAGGCUGCAGUCCAUGGGGUCGCUGAGAGUUGGACACAACUCAGUGACUUCACUUUCACUUUUCAUUUGCAUGCACUGGAGAAGGAAAUGGCAACCCACUCUUAGUGUUCUUGCCUGAAGAAUCCCAGGGAGGGCGGAGCCUGAUGGGCUCCAUCUAUGGGGUCGCACAGAGUCGGUCAUGACUAAAGCGACUUAGCAGCAGCAGCAGCAGCAGCUAAUGCCGUUGGAAGGGAGUUUAUUUCACGAACUGUAAACAGAAGAGUUCAUAAUCGAUGAAAUAGGGCUCUAGAAUAUGUUGCAUCAACGGCCUCAAAGACACCAGCAGACAUUGCAUCCAUAAAAGGAUGAACAGACAAUGGACAUUAAUACUUUGGCUUUUGAGAUACAAACCUGAAUGAAUGGACUGAAAAGCCAAAUACAUAACAGUAGAAGUGAUGGCUGGGAAAUUCAGUCAAGGAAGUACCUUACAAUGUGGCACAAAGAGAUAAAAGAGAUGAGAAAUAUAAAAGAGCAGCCUGCAGGCUCCCACAGAGUGGAAAGAGUGCCACACGUGAACAAUUCCACCGAACUGCUUCAGGUGCCUGUUAAAAUGAGAAUACCCUCAGGAGAGACAAAAAGCUGAAGGACAGCCCCUGGAGACUAAUUGUUUUGCUUUCCUUAGAUUCUGAGAAUGCGUCUGGGGCUUUAAAGAAUGAGCAGAGCCAGAGGAGAUGGCCAAACCUGGCCACUUGCAACUCACAUUCCCUGACAUCCCAGGUCAGUGCCCAGUGCCUGAGCCUAUAGGUGGCACUGGCUGGCCUGAGGGUAAUCGUGCAAAAGAGCCGAGAGAGGUGAAGAGGGAGAACGCUGGGGAAAGCUGUGAAGGGAAGCUGAGAGAAAGGGUAAGAACCCUGGGUAUCAGAUCCACAGCUCAAAGAGGUCAUGUGGCCCAAUCCCCUUGUUUUAAUAGAUAAGGAAAGGAGGUCCAGAGAGGUUAGGUAACCCUACUGUUUGAGGUCAGUCAGUGGCUCCCUCACCAGAGAUUGGCCCUGCUCUAGGCCAUUUCUGUGGCCUCACAGUUUGUUCAUUAAACAACAGAUAAGCUCACAAGUAAAGGCCGGUAUUGCUGCAUUUAUCUGACUAUUUGGGUGGUGGCUUCGGGCCAACUCAUUGCUGGAAUUUGGCAUUUGGAAUCAGAGAUAGGAUAAGGAAAAUAUCCCUCUGGGUACAUGUGAAUGCAUCAUGACCCCAGGCCUAAGAAGCUUAGCUUGUCAACUGUUCAUUCAUUCCCUUCACCAACAUUUACUGAGCACGUACUAGGUACAGGCACCCACGGUGUCCCCCUCGGAGGCCCCAGAGAGGAGUGAAUAGUGAGGAUUUGCCUUGGAGGAACUUGCGCUGUGGUGAUGAUGAAGGACAUCCCACUGCAGAGGCAGCUUUGUUGCUGCCCUUCAAAGGACUUAUCACAACCAGGUAGGUGAGCCAACGCAAGGCCUCUGGGGACCUCGGUGUGGUAAAUCUUGGACACGAAGGCUCAGACGUGGCUAUGAAUCUUGCCACGAGAAAGAGGUUCAGUGGCCUCUGGCUGGUGGCCGCAGGGCUGCCCCCCCUGUUUAGGAACCUUGCAGGUUGCUUUUGAGUCAUGGAGUCACACAGCUCUGUGUGCCAGGGAGACUCUGAAGCUUGAGGAGCAACAGCCGAAACUGCUGGUGCCCGGUCCCAGAGGUUUCACUUUGACCGUGGGCUCAGUGUAUCCUGAGGCAGAGAGGAUCCACAUCCUUGACCGGGUCCCCAGGGAGCCUUGGGGAGUAAACAAGGUCACAGGGCUAGUUAACCACAGAGCCUAGACUGGAACUUGGGCCCAUGACCCCAAAUCCCUCUAGUGUGAUACUGUCACUUCUGCAUUGCCUCACCUCAGGUAAAAAGUCAAAAUUGGGCUGAAAAAAAUCCCACUACCAAUAAUCCUUUGAGGCCAGAUAACAUGUUGUGAAGCCGUUCAGUCACGUCUGACUCUUUGGGACGCUAUGGACUAUAGCCUACAAGGUUCCUCCGUCCGUGGGAUUCUCCAGGCAAGAAUCCCGGAGUGGGUUGCCAUUUCCUUCUCAAGAUAACAUGUUAGAUUCUUUUAAAAUUGAGUUGAAAAGUGAAGUGGUGGGAAACCUCUUGAAGUGCUGCUAUGGGAAUGAUGCCCAGCCUGGCCUGUUCUGCCUCUCCAUGAGACAGACUCAGCCUGCUGGUGAGAAAAAAGUAUGGUUUGCAUGUCAAGUGACUCCUUACAAAAGGCUCUGAGGACGCCAUGGGUCUCCAGUCUCUCGACAUCAAACCCCACCCCACCCCCAACCCAACUUGUCUCAUGGCCUGAAAAGGCCAUCAUCUAGAAGGCUCUUCAGGUGGUCAAUGCUGAUACUUUAAAACAAACUCACCUGGGGCAGGAUAUCAGAUGCAGCCUACUGGGAAGACAAUGGAUUGGGUAUCUGAAGGACAAGGGGGCAGCCUCGGACAGGUGAAGGUGAAAGCUGAGGUAAAGGGGCAGUCAGUAAGCAGCUGUGGAGAAAGGAGCAGUUUCACAAGCAUGCAUUGGAGUCAUGGGACCUCAAAGAUGAGUAGGAAAGCCCCAGGCCUGCCUGACACUCAAGAGCUUUGGAUCUGUGUGCUCAUGUGAAAUGUAGAUUUUGGUAUUUACUAGAGAAACUUGCCUUUCAGGCACCAUCAACUGUCUUUCCUAUGUGUAAGGAAAGCUUGUGGCUGAGGUCUCCCUAUGGUGCCCUAAAGGGGAGUCCAAGCCAACUGCACAAUCUUUAUCCCACCAGAUCUCCCUUGUUAGUUUCUAUUAUCUCUCCUCCAGAAAAAGAAAUUCCCAGGGACUCACUUGGAUGCCUGCUAGGAAAAAUGACAUACUCACCAGUGUCAUGACCCCAAUGCCAGGACAUGGAAAUCAGAUCACAGAAUGUGCACACGGAAAACUUUUCCCAUUUUUAAGUGACCAUUGACAAGUGACCUUGCUCCUCUGGAUCUCAUGUGGUUGGUUCAGUUUUCAAAGGAGAGAACUGUGCUAUUGUAAGAUCUCGGAGCUUUGCUCCCCCUACCACAACCCCGCCUGCCAUCCCAGAUCUGAUACUCUGUGUUUCCUCGAUGUAGAAGUUCAUGGGCAGUUUUGCCUCCCAUCUUACAGACUUGUGGUCCUCACAUGAUGUCCUGGUGUACAGCACCUUCCUCAGAAAACUUUCCACAUACCUCCUGUGUCUGAAUGUAGCGCCUUGUUCAGACAGGGCCCUUAAUGUUUAACGAAAGCCUCCACAACUCUAAUGACUUGGCAGUCAAAAGCAAGAGUCUCUCAGGACCCACAUCAAAGAGAAAGGAGGAGGGAUGUUUCUAUUAGGUGAGAAAAGGCUCAAGGAAGGAGAGGAAGACACAGACCGCUCCUGGGAGGCUCGCAGGGCAGAACCAGUUGAACUCGGGUGACAUGGGGGAGACAUGAGGUAGGUUAUCUGUGGUUCAGUGAGGCGUCAAGAGUGUGGGUAGAGACAGCCAAGAAAUAAGGCUGACUAAGGAUAAUUCUGGGAGCCUUGUAGUUAUCUGGAAGCAAAAAAAGUUUUUAAAGGGAUUGAUGUAAUGAAAACUGAGUUAGAAAACAAUCUGGCAGCAGCGUGCAGGAUGAACUGAAGGGAUGGUCAGGACGUCAGGUGACAAUGGAGGAGAAAAAUCUGCGUAGAGGUGGAAAUGCUUCAAACACAGGGGACAGAUUUGUAGUGAGCAUAUGCAUAGCCCUGGACACUGUCCUCCCAUGGGACAUAGUUGUAAAGGAUGUAGAUCCAGACCCCCAGCCUUGGGGGACCUCAUCUUCCAGGAGCGAAACAGGAGGGAGACAACCCUUAAGAAUGAAGACCUCAUUUUAUUCAGCAAAGGAUUUGAGGAAACAUACACAUCCAAUUCAGAAGGAUAAAUAUAAAUGAUUUUAACUGUUGUCCUUAACAUCCCUUUAGAUGAAACAAUGAUUUGUGUGUGACUGACAUAAAGUCACUCGUAGUUGAAGGCCUGGCACCAGAGCAUGACUAGGCAAAGGUAGCUGCAGAAGGGAUUUGCACACCAGGUCCAAGUGUGCAACGCCUCAAAGGCUGUGGGGCUUGACACUCAGCAAAGGCUGCCGACGGGCUGGAGUAUGGAUUGGCCCCAUGGGGAGAUGUUCUGUUUGGCAUCACAUCUGAAAGUCUGAGAGGAGUCCUGGGCUCUAUAACAGCUACCCAUCUCCACAACUGUGUCAUCCAUGUAGCCCUUAAAGCCAUCAGAUCUUGGGAAUGCCAAGAGUGGAAUGAAGGGUCCACCAGAAAACUUCAAUUUGGGGAGAUUUUUCCCAACAGAGGCCUUUGAAAACCACUGGACAUUAGAUUUUAAGGUAAUUUUUUGCAAAAGUCUACAAGGAAGACAUUAAUUUGCAUUCAACUGACCACUGAGAAUACACUUUGAUCAUUAAUGGAGCAGAGGGUAGGGUUAAGGUCCAUUUCAAAAAUUAAGAUAUGGGUCCAGAGGUAAAGGGAAAUCUUGUGUUAGAGACAAGACAUUUUUAGGGAAUAUCUUUAGAACCUUGUGAUGUGUUUAGACUGGGAUACAGAGCAAAUAGUCCUAGGGGGUAGGAAAAUAAGGGUAAGGGGUAAGUAAAGAUUUUGAGAAUGACUGGGGAAAUGAUAUAUGAGAAAGUUGGGGUGGGAGGAGAAGUUUAGGAGGAAGUUAGUGGAUUUGGUUUUAGCCGUUAAGUGUGGAGUGAUGGUGAGACAUCUAAGUGCUGAUGUUCACUAGGCACUUGAUGCUUCAGAUAUCGGGGUAAAGAAAGAGGACAGGGCCAAGAAGGGAACUGAGGGUGGGUACCCACACAGCAGCAAGAGCUAAAGUCAGGAAAAGAAAUGAGUUCUCAAAAGGAGUAUGAAGCCAAGAGCUAAGCUCUUAGGCUGGGAAAUGCUCAGGGAGCUAGGAGCAGGUACAGAGGAAUUUCUUAUUACAGAGGAGCAGUGGGAGAAAGUGAAAGUGAAGUCGCUCAGUCAUGUCUGACUCUUUGUGACCCCAUGGACUGUAGUCUACCAGGCUCCUCAGUCCAUGGAAUUUUCCAGGCAAGAGUACUGGAGUGGGUUGACAUUUCCUUCUCCAGGGGAUCUUCCCAACCCAGGGAUUGAACCCGGGUCUCUCACAUUGCAGGCAGAUGCUUUACCAUCUGAUCCACCAGGGAAGCCCAAGGAAAAGCCUAUCAAAACAGCCAUUGGCAAACAGAUACAAGGAGAAGAGAUAGCCAAAUGGGUCCAAAGCCAUUGGAGUGAAAUCAAAUGAACAAAGAUGGAAGGGGAAAAGGUACAGUCUAGGAGGUAGGAAGGGCAUUAACAUCUCUGAGGGACUGAUGGGAGUAUAGGUAAAGCAGAAGCCAGAAGUUAUGAGGAAAUGGGUUGAAGGGAAAUGGUAACAUAGGUUAUUUGGAAGAAAAAGAAGUUAACCUGCAAAGAAGAUAGGAGGCCAGAGAUGUAAAAGGAAAACAAGGAGAGGCAGCCAGGGAAGAACCAGGCAUGUAGUGAGAGGACAUGGAAAGCGCGUUUGGGUUAAGAGGAUGGGCUUUCAGCUCGCACAGAUUGCUGCUCACCUCCCACUCUACCUACCAUUUGCUUUGACAUGCUGAGGCUCAGUUUUUCAUCUGUCAAAUGGAGGCAUAACGAACUCAUUCUAGAAAGUUGUUGUGGUGCCUGAGCCCUAGUGCAUGUAGAGCACUUGGUGAAACAUUCCAGGUGAGAGUGAAACUGAUGCUACAGGUAUCUGGUCUUGUCCACACUCUUCAAGGGACUCUUGACACCCACAUCCAGGCUGUUUGUUUCUCUUGUAAAACAGCAAUAGCAGCUGUUACAACUUUUCUAAAAAUAAAAAAAAAAUUAUUUUUUGGAAAUUCAUGCCUUUUGAACAUUCUCCAUCUUCCAUCUUCCUCUUUCUCAAUUACCAUAGCAUCCUAGCCACACCUCCUUGCUCAUCAUAAAAUGCUGGCACUUAGCCAUGAGCAGCCUCUCCUGGUUUCUUGUUAGCUUUGGGCCAGUCCUCCUCCCCCACCUUCUUUUUAUAAGCUUUAUCCUCUAUAUUCUGUCAUCAAGUUUUGGUGUCCCUUAAGAUACCCUUCUCAGUCUAUACAGUUUCCAUAGCCCAUAAGUCAGCUUAGACCUCUUUCCUGAAUUAUAGAUUGUAUAUUACCUCUUGGAUAUUCCAAACCUCAAAACUGGUCCAGGCUCAGAAAAUGGCACACCACCCCUCUAGAUACAAAGUGUGGGGACUUAGAAGGCAUACUUAACAUUUUCCUUUUUCCUCAAAUCAUUGUAUUUAUAUCAUGACUACCAUGCCAACUUAACCACCAAAUAUCUCACAAACCUGUCCACUUGUCUCUGUUUCCCAAGACCACAAUACCGCCUUCUAUUGCCUGAAAAACUAUGGAAGUCUCCCCCACCCUCUCCAGCACCCCUCCCCGCACUGUAUUCGUCCCACUCAAGUCAGAGAUUUAUAUUUGUAGAAUGCAGGUAUGACUUUGUUGAUUCCUUAAAGCCCUUCGGUGGCUCCUCAUUUCUCUUAAGACAAAUUCUAACCUUUUUAAUAUUCCUACAAAACUUUGCACAGGUGUAUGUUAUCACUUCAGCUCAACCCCAGUGCACCCCACACUCCUCCUGCUCUCUGGGCCCCAGGUCCCCAGCCUUCUUCCUGUUCCUUGCUGAUCCUUCUUUCUGCUUUACAUCAUGCUCACCCUUGCUCUGUUCCCAUUGGUCCCAGGCUACCAGUCUCAUUCCAGAGCCCCUCCUUGAGAUAGGACCCUCUCCAGCCAUAGGUCUUCCUGUCCCCAACUGGAUGUUCUCACUCACUUGGGGGAACCAUCCAAUAAACAUCUGUAACUUCUCAGUCCCUAGGGGCUGAGGUCACAUCUGUCUUGCUCCGUGCAAGAGCCCUAGUAGUCAGCCUUCUAUCUGUGGGGACCGAGAUCAGAAGGUGUAGCAGGGAGAACCAAGGUGCCUGGGUUGUAGGGGCAUGAAAGAGAGAUUGGUCAGGUGUACUAGAGAGAAUGAGGAGGGCAGGCUUGGCACCCAGAGCUCAGACCUAGGUGGCUGUGUCUUCUCCCUGCUGGACAGGUCACUGCCAUGCUGCAAGGUAGGAUUUGAUAGGGUCUGGCCAAGUUGGACAGCACUUUUGCAAGGUAAGAGCCUGCCUUCCCACCUUGCAGAGGGUCAGGGCUGCAUCAGGGGAUCUGGGAGGCCCUUCCAGCACUGUGGGGCCCAGAGUACAUCCUGACCCCAAGACACUGGUACACCCAGCCUCUGCUGUGCCCCCUGCUGACUUUGCCCUUGCUCACACUGGGGACUCUGUAUUGGUAUUUCUUUAUCUCGAGGUUGUAGGGCAUUAAGGUGGCAGGAUACCUGUGGUCCACGCAGCAUGGGAGCACAGGCCUAGUUCAACAGGAGGCCAAAGUCUCUGCUUGGUACAAUGUGGGAUGCUUCAAUGAAGGAGACCACUCUGCAAACAAAUGCCUGGAGAGCCAGGUAUGUGAGAUGGCUUUUGAAGGUACGUGGCCACAUGUGUGUAUAUGCAUGUUUGUGGGUGAGGGGAAACUAUUCCUGACACAGGGACAUACAAGUAAUCUCUCUGAAGUUCUAGGACCUUACUCCAUUCCUGUACCAUAACUCAAAGGCCUAUGUUCUACCUGUGUGGCCCAUUGGAAUAUUCUACUGGACAGGAAAACCAAUAUGCAAGGCAGGGAGAAUCUUUAAGGACCUUUCCAUUCAGAGGUCAGAAAAGCUAACUUUUAAAAAGAGAGUCGUUCUGAAUAGCCUGGGAAUGAAUAUGCAUAACUGAAAGGUCCUUGAAUGUAGAGACCAGAUGAAUCCCAUAACAGGCAGCUAAUGGCAUGGUUCAGAGCACCGGCUCUGGAAACAGACUCCACAGGCUCUAGUCCCACCUCUACAAUAACUAGCUGGGUGCCCAAGGGCAAAAUAUUUACCCACACUUUGGUUUUCUCAUUUAUAAAAUGGGUACCAUCAUACUUAGCCUACUUAUCAUGAGGAUGAAUGACUUAAUAUUUGUAAAGUGCUGGGAAAGUUGUGUUAACACAUAGCAAAUGCUUUGUAAGCGUUAAAAAAAUUCUCAGCCUUUGGGUCUUUAGUGCUCUUUGAGGCAUCUUUAUGACAUAUUUUUGAGGAAGAUGAGGAAUCAGGCUUCUUUGCCCCUGCAAACAUUUAGACAUAUAGGCAGUGCUAACAUUGUGCAGUAGUGCAGGACAGUAAAAUGACCGUGCAAGCUGAAACUAUGCAAGAUAAUCCUAAAAACUGUACUGAAACCUAUAAAAAUUUUGUUGAAACAUGAAAUACUCUCUUACUAUAGUUUUUAAGUGUAUAUGGAAGUGUAAAAAAAUAAAACCAAUAUUUUAAUACAUUAUAAUUUAAACAUUUGAAACAUUGCAAUUCUUAAAGUGUUUUUUUCUUUGUAAAAAAUAAGAGUAUUUCAGCAGUCCCUGCUGUCUUCUUUUUGUAGAACUGGAACAUUUUUUUCUAUGCCUUGCUGAACUGUCAUACUCCUUUAUAAAUUUGCAUCAGC
ensembl:lncRNA